ensembl:lncRNA
UUACAUUAUUGUUUGCCAAACACGACUGGAAAUCAUAAGGCAAAUCAAGGUUAUAAAGUGACUGAGAGCUACUGCAGCUCAUUCUUAAAGGGCUCGUAGGAAGGACACGCUGCGUCUGUGGUGAACAGCCCUCUGGUAGAGCGUUUCUAUGCAAGGAAGCUUGAGGACGCAUCUGAAGUGCUUUGAUAAAGUGCUUUGAGAGAAAAUGAACUCCCUCAUGGAUUUAAUGACAUCAAAGACUUUUGUGUGACAUUGAAAAGACUAAGAAGGCCAAGGGAGGAAGGGGAUAAGAAAAACCCACUUGUCCUCUCUCAAUCUAGCCCACAGAAGAGAAAGAGAAGAGCCGUUUGAGGAUAGUGUGCUGCCUGGUCGUCAGAGCGCUACACGGUUCUGAAACACUGGACACAGCUUUUAUAAGCAUAUAUGAGGGACAAUGAAAGCCUGAAGUAGUAGUGAGCCUGCACAGUGGCUAUUAUUUAUUAAGAAAAAGGAAAAAUAUCAAAUCCCUUGAUGAAUUAUUUAUAUGUAGUCAUGUUAAGUGUGUGGACACACUUGUCUUUUUAAAGUCAAAAAACUGUGACAUAUUUACAACAUUGUUAUUUUAUGAGUCUUUUAGUAAUUUUUUCCCCCCAGUAUAAUUUUUUCAGAUGCUUCAUUAGAUUCUUCUUUGUUUCAUAGCAACAGACAUAGAGUUUGCAAGCACAAUGUGUCUGACAUCAGUACCUUGUCACAACCAUUAUUACCUCAUAAGGCAGUGUGUAAUUUUACCUCAGUUCGAGCCAAAUUAAAUAAAAGCUUUCAUAGUGGUAUCCCUACUCUUAUUCAGAUAGCUCACCGACUCUGACUCAUAGGUAACAGACAUAUGACAUGGAAACACAAGUCAGGGGGCUGAAUUAUGGGAGGUUAAAAAAAAGAAAAGAAAAAAGACACUAAUGUAAAAGUCAGGCCAGUCUGCUAUUACCUCAAGCUUUUAUGGCAACACAUUGGCUUAUGUUUUGGGUGAGAGCUGAAAAUUUAUUAGUGGCUUUUCCCAUCAAGACAGAUGAGUGUGAAUUCAUGCCUCUAGAUAUUGACAGAUAAUUGUUCCAUUAGUUUUGAGAUUGAGAGGCCUGUCUUUUACUUCAGCUUGUAUAAUCGAUUUCUAGUUAUUGUUAAAAAAGAAAAGGUUGGAGUCUAUCUGUGGUUUGCAUGAAAUGUCUUCAUUUCAGUAUUGUGAUUUAAUGAAUAAUGUCGAUGAGAAAUGGAAGAAGUCCGGAAAACAGUGGGUGUGCACAUUCAUUUAGCCUUUGUGAGCCUAAGAGACUUACAGACCCCAAACCUUUGAACAAUAGUAUAUACGCAAAAUUCAUUAACUCUAUGGAAUUAACUGGAUUUCUGCUUUUCUUUUUUCUGAUUUUCCUAUAAAAGCUUUAUCUUCAUCUGAUUAAAAUAAUUUAACCCAUAUAAAUUUAAUGAACCACAGACAUGAAAACCCACAAUGUUACAGUGCCAUCUUUGUUAAACAAAUAUAGUUUCAAUAAAUCAACUUUCUGUAUCAGUGAUUGGAAAGUUCCUAUAAAUGCUAAUCAGUUCUGCUGAGAAGUUGUGGGGCAUUUACAUCAAUCCAGAACUGUUUGGGUUUACAUUUACAGUAGUUUUGGUGUUAAGGGUUGGCUAACUCAGGCAUCAACAAAAGCAAAACACUAGCUGUUAUUAUUUCUGUGACGUAUUUGAGGAUUUUAUGGCAUACCCGCUCAUUGUCCUCCUGAUGAGAUAAACCACAGCAGACUGAUGAAGGCCAACAUGUCUUCUCAACCCUUUUGAAAUAUUUUUCAUAGGUCUUUUCAUAUUCCUUUUGAACAGCAGGGAAUUAAUAUUGUGCAGUUAUGUUUAUGGUGGG